GCCCCACUUAUAAAGAGCAAUCGAUGUUAGCUUUUCAAAAUGAGACCAAAGAAGCUUGUGCUUUUUUUAUAUUGUUCUAUGAAUAUAUACUCUAGAACUUAGAUUUCAAUAUGACAUUUGUGCAGCAUUAGUUUCGCUUUUUAUUUAUAAAAAGUCUUGCUUACAAAGAAUCAUAUAUGAGUUCUGAUGCGACCCAAAUCACCAGCUAUGUCUCAACGAAGAUCUUAAGGUACGAACCAGUUAAGCAACUAAUCAUAGCAUGGCUUAAUGGGCAUUUUAUAGGCCUUAUCGGUUUGAUCCAUGAAAUUCUAGAUCGAGAGAAGCUAGUGGGCCUGAUGCAAAAUGUGGAGGUCUUAUGCUCGAUAAGAAAUCAGUGUUUGGAUUUGUCCAAGAAAGGUACACCAAGAAAAUAAAAGCCCUGGUCGUAUAAUAUAUCAAUCUGACGGCAAUUCCAGGAUCUUCAACCGUGCAAAAGGACACAACCAGCCGAAGAGUUCUGCGACCAAAACUUUAAAUAUUCAGUCAACAGUUUUGGUCUUUGGUCAAGUCAAUAUUCCUAGUAAAGUUUUCAUGGUUUUAAGAGCUUUGUAGUUCUAGGAUUGACUAGAAUAUUUAUUUCUUCCACAAGCUAUUAUAUAAAGGCUUGCUAUUGUAUUGUUUUAAUCAUUCAACAUUUUUAAUCAAAAACCUUUCUUUAUAUUCUUGUUGAAUCCUUUGUUCUUAAUCGGACAUCGUAGCUUCUAAGUCAUCGGAGUGAGUCAUAUCUUCGGGCUUAGAAGUUCGGUAGUAUCAAGAGACUUUCCGCACCUCUUGUGUCUCCAUUCGAUCCAAGUUCCUUGAUCGUUUGUGCUUUCUAGCUCAUUCGGUGCAAGACUUAUCCAUUCUACCAACCUUAGAGUGAUCCUUCUAAUUAAGGGCGUAUCAUGUGGUAUCAGAGCCACUUUGAGGUUUAGAGUUCUUCACAACCAGCCAUUCGUAACUCUUCAUCUUCUAAGAGAUCAUCUGUGUCUUUUGGACUACUGAAGAUAAACCAUGAAGAGAAGCCAACCAUUAUUAUCUCUUCAUCUUCUAAUAGAUCACUUGUGUUUGGGCUACUGAUCAACCAUGAAGAGGAGGCAGCGCGCAAAACACAAGAAGAACAGUUGCGAGAAUGGAGGUACAACAAACGCACAGCCGAGAUGAUAGCAGAAUAUGAGCGUGACCAAGAGAAGGAAGCCACGAAGUCACGACCUGAGAGAGACAAAUGGAAGAAACCUGUCAACAAAGAGGCCACACGAUCUUACCUUGGUUAUAGAUCAAAUGGAGUUAAACCGAGCAGUCGUAGAAGGCAGUCCAAAAGCCACAAUCAAAACCGGUUGUACAAACUCCAUCGGCCAGAACUGAAGAAAAGAGGAAUGAUGAUUUUGGGAGAUGGCUGAAGAGUUUCAAGGCUAGGAUCCAUCAAAGUAUCACAAACCACAACAAGACGUUUACUUUCCUUUUAAAACCGUGUUAGAAAAAGAACAAAUGAUUUUUGGAAAUAAGAAACAGUUUGCUUCUAAUGAGUUUGAUUUUAUGCAGAAACAAAGAAACCAAAGGAAGAAACAAAACAGUUUCGAUGAUGAUGAGAAGUGGGUCAGAAGUGGUGAUCGUCCCUUCACCAAAGCCAAGAGAAGCAACCGUGAUGUGUUUGAUUAGAAUGAGCUUCAGACUUAUGUCAGCUUGGAGAAGAUGUUGCAUAAGGCAAUUCAUGCUAUCCGGCAACUCAAAAAGAAGGGAAGCACCAACAUUUCUCCUGCACCAUAACAACAAAGUAAUUUUUUUUCUCUUUCAAAUUCUGAUUUGAAAACUAAUAUGUUGUCUUCUGAUAAAAGCAAAACUGUGAAACCCACAAGCAAAGCUCAUUCUACCAGGUGCUUCAAAUGCAAUAGGAUCGGUCAUUAUGCUAACAAGUGUCAAAAGCAAAGACCGUUGGUGACUUUGGAGAAUGAGAACGUUGAAACAGAGCCAGAAAAGGAAUUCCCAUUGCCAAUUUUCGAUGACUUCACAUAUGAGCCAAUGGAGGGCUAGAUGAAGAAUAAAUUCGUGACCAUCAAGCCAACCAAGAAGAAUCAUCUUCCAUUCAAAAACGGACCAAACUCAAGAUUUGAGGACAAAUUUUUUUGAAUAGGAAGGGAAUGAUGUGCCCUGGUUCGUGGAUCAGUCCAUUGGAGCCAACCAGCAUGAAGAUCAAGACGUUCUGAAAAAUUUCACCGAGGUUCGUUCAUCCGACCGUACCGAUCAGACUGACCGAGCCGUCGCGCGUGCGUCCCGAUUGGAGCUUCGACUGGAACCACGACCAGAUGAUCGAACUGACCGUACCGGAGCUCGUCUUCCCCGACCAACUCGACAUUCUAAGACCCACGGCCGAGCCAUACUUAGCUUGGGUUGUGAAAAAAUCGAAGACGGACAUGCGUUCUCAUCCGGCAGACCAUCCAGACAGUCCCGCAAGCGUCCUUAUCUUUAUCCCGUGCAUCCAUCUGGUUCAGAUGAACCUGGACAUUGUCUGAAGGGUCAUCUUUGACCAAUCUGCAUGGAAGACUGAGUCUUUGACUCACUAAUUCAGAUAUGGUCAAAUUUGUAUUUUCUAUGCAUUAUUUUCCGUGUAUUUUCUUUAUUAGUCUUUGACUACAAACACUAUAAAUAUGUAGUCUCAUUCUAUGAAUAAAAGAAGUCUAAGUUUGAGUUUA